GAACGGUAGCACAGAGAGCUUGCUCUCGGGUGACGAGUGGCGGACGGGUGAGUAAUGUCUGGGAAACUGCCUGAUGGAGGGGGAUAACUACUGGAAACGGUAGCUAAUACCGCAUAACGUCGCAAGACCAAAGAGGGGGACCUUCGGGCCUCUUGCCAUCAGAUGUGCCCAGAUGGGAUUAGCUAGUAGGUGGGGUAACGGCUCACCUAGGCGACGAUCCCUAGCUGGUCUGAGAGGAUGACCAGCCACACUGGAACUGAGACACGGUCCAGACUCCUACGGGAGGCAGCAGUGGGGAAUAUUGCACAAUGGGCGCAAGCCUGAUGCAGCCAUGCCGCGUGUAUGAAGAAGGCCUUCGGGUUGUAAAGUACUUUCAGCGGGGAGGAAGGUGUUGUGGUUAAUAACCACAGCAAUUGACGUUACCCGCAGAAGAAGCACCGGCA
rnacentral:rRNA from 1 species